UGGGGAAUAUUGCACAAUGGGGGAAACCCUGAUGCAGCGACGCCGCGUGGAGGAAGAAGGUCUUCGGAUUGUAAACUCCUGUUGUUGAGGAAGAUAAUGACGGUACUCAACAAGGAAGUGACGGCUAACUACGUGCCAGCAGCCGCGGUAAAACGUAGGUCACAAGCGUUGUCCGGAAUUACUGGGUGUAAAGGGAGCGCAGGCGGGAAGACAAGUUGGAAGUGAAAUCUAUGGGCUCAACCCAUAAACUGCUUUCAAAACUGCUGGCCUUGAGUAGUGCAGAGGUAGGUGGAAUUCCCGGUGUAGCGGUGGAAUGCGUAGAGAUGGGGAGGAACACCAGUGGCGAAGGCGGCCUGCUGGGCUUUAACUGACGCUGAGGCACGAAAGCGUGGGUAGCAAACAGGAUUAGAUACCCUGGUAGUCCACGCUGUAAACGAUGAUUACUAGGUGUGGGGGGUCUGACCCCUUCCGUGCCGCAGUUAACACAAUAAGUAAUCCACCUGGGGAGUACGACCGCAAGGUUGAAACUCAAAGGAAUUGACGGGGGCCCGCACAAGCAGUGGAGUAUGUGGUUUAAUUCGACGCAACGCGAAGAACCUUACCAAGUCUUGACAUCCCUUGACAGGCAUAGAAAUAUGUUUUCUCUUCGGAGCAAGGAGACAGGUGGUGCAUGGUUGUCGUCAGCUCGUGUCGUGAGAUGUUGGGUUAAGUCCCGCAACGAGCGCAACCCUUAUGGUCAGUUACUACGCAAGAGGACUCUGGCCAGACUGCCGUUGACAAAACGGAGGAAGGUGGGGACGACGUCAAAUCAUCAUGCCCCUUAUGUGCUGGGCUACACACGUAAUACAAUGGCCAUCAACAAAGAGAAGCAAUACCGCGAGGUGGAGCAAAACUAUAAAAAUGGUCUCAGUUCGGACUGCAGGCUGCAACCCGCCUGCACGAAGUUGGAAUUGCUAGUAAUCGUGGAUCAGCAUGCCACGGUGAAUACGUUCCC
rnacentral:rRNA from 1 species